ACUUUAUGAUGCAGAAGUUAAAAAGAAAUUUUGCAUAGAACUUAAGAACAGGUUUAAAGCAUUAGAAGAUCUCAGUCAGAUGGAAGAAAUUGAUCUAGAAAAUAAGUGGGAAAACAUCAAACAAGUCUACCAAGAGACCGCUGAAAAAACAAUUGGAUUUCGUAGAAAGAACGAUAAACAAUGGCUAACACAAGACACCUGGACAAUAAUUGAUGAGAGACGAAAGAUUAAAGAAAAAGUCCUUAACACCAAGUCACUUAGACUAAAAGAACAGCUGCAGAAAGAAUACAACCAAAAGGAUAAAGAGGUGAAAAGAUCAGCAAGAAAG
rnacentral:lncRNA from 1 species